CGCCCACUCGCAUAUGGUACCGAAUGGUGCCAAAUUCCAGAUGAACAGCAGAUUAAUUUUGCCAAUAGAUCUUCGUAAAACACCAAAGUGACAGGCAGAGUGAACUAAAUACAUUAUUUUCUAAAGCAGAAUCACGAGUGCGCAAGGUUAUUGAUUUCUGAGCUGCAUGCUGACUCCCGCUCAGUACCAGCUCAGUACCGUACACGGCGAGCUGAGAGAACACUCAGGACUUUCCGGUCACAUGGAGAAACAACAGCAGAUGAAAGCCGCCCUGCAGCGGUGCAUAGACAGACAUAAAGACGAGCUGCACAGUUUGAGUCUGGACAUUUGGAGCCGACCUGAACUUGCCGGAAACGAGACACACGCGCACGACAGGCUGGUCCGUUUUUUUUCUCAGGACCAGACAUGGACGGUAGAAAGCCACUACAAAUUACCGACCGCAUUCCGGGCCAGCUGGGGUGCGGUCGGUUGCGGGGAGGGGGAGCAGCCGGGGCUGAACGUGGGGUUCCUGUGCGAGUACGACGCGCUUCCGGGCAUCGGGCACGCGUGCGGGCAUAACUUGAUAGCAGAGGUGGGAGCUGCCGCCGCUCUGGGGCUGAAAGCUGCUUUAGAGAACCAGACUGAACUCCCUGAACCAGUGAAGAUAACAGUUCUGGGAACUCCUGCAGAGGAGGAUAUAGGAGGCAAAAUUCAAUUGAUCAAGGCAGGAGCCUUCGCUGACAUCGACCUCGUCUUCAUGGCUCACCCAGCUCAGCAAGAUGCUUCUUUCCUGCCCUGUGUCGCAAUCGUUGAGGUGUCAGUGAAGUACCAUGGGAAGGCAUCUCAUGCUUCUGCAUACCCUUGGGAGGGAGUGAAUGCCCUGGAUGCUGCUGUGCUGGCUUACAACAAUCUCUCUGCACUCAGACAGCAACUCAAACCAGAGUGGAGGCUUCACGGCAUCAUCAAACAUGGAGGGGAGAAGCCCAACAUUAUCCCUGCCUACAGUGAGUUAGAGUUUUAUCUGCGCACGCCGCUGGUUAAGGAUCUUUGUGACCUGAAGGCCAAAACUGAGGCUUGCUUCAGGGCAGCUGCUGUUGCCACCGGCUGCCAAGUGGAGAUAAUCUACCCAACCGAUGGCUAUGAUAGCAUUCUGCCAAAUGCCACACUGGCAAACCUGUAUGAAAAUAAUGGAAAAGCUUUGGGGAUUCAGUUUCCAGAGCAGCCAGCCAACUUCUCUGGUUCUACAGACUUUGGCAACGUAUCAUUCAUAGUCCCCGGUAUCCAUCCUUUCUUCUACAUCUGCACCGACGCGUUUAACCACACUGAGGAAUACACCGAAGCAGCAGGAGCUGAAAAGGCCCAGUUGUACACCCUGAGGACAGCCAAAGCCCUGGCUAUGACAGCUGUGGAUGUAGUGUGCUGCCCUGUUCUGCUGAGUUUCCUCUCUUUCCUCUCCUGUACGGUGGAGAGGUAGUUGACUGCCGCAUACUCUAUCACCGAGAGGAAGACAAAGACAAAACUGACCCAGAGGUAAAUGUCCACUGCCUUGAUGUAGGAGACCCGCGGCAUGGAGGCGUUGACCCCGGUGAUGAUGGUGGACAUGGUCAGCACUGUGGUGAUGCCUGGAGUAAAACACGCAAACAGUCUCCAGCUUGUGACCCCUCGACUGGGCCAACCUCCCAGCUGCUCCUGCGAGCCAAACACAGAAGAGCACAAGAACAGCAUCCACCUGCAUGGUUCACAUUCCCCAGAGGACGGACCUCUCCUGUCAGUCAGAAUCUACUCCCCUCAAGGAUUCGGAGCACUCUGCCUUGCUGAGACAUUCCCUUCUCCAGUGCCAGAGCCGACAAGAGGGAGGAAAAACAGCAACAGCAGCAUUACACUGAGCUAUUCUACGGCCUGAGUGGAAAACAUCCUACGGUGCUUAAUCUCCACAGUGGGAAAAGCAAUUUUGACUAAACCCAUAAAUCCUUGAGCGUCAGAUGGUACAGAUUUGAUCCCUGCAGCGGCGGAUGUGCCUGCCUCUCUGUGCUCUGCUGUGCUCAGAUAUCCUGCACCCUGAUGUGCUCUACUCCACUUUGCAACGCCCAGAAACACCAAUUCUCACAAUGAUGCGGUGCGCUCAUCUGUAAGGUCAACGGUUUAGAGAUGCAGACUCACAGAGGCUGAGAGGAAGCUUUGUGUCUGAUGUGAAAGGCUUCUCAGCUCCUUCUGUUAUGGGAGUCUCGUGUCUGGCAUGUCAAAAUUCUCUACCAAAAGAAGAAAAAAAAAUAUCUGCAUUUCUGCUCGUUGGUGUUUGCAGGAUUUCAGUUUUGUUUAAUGUAAACCCGGACAGUGAAUGUAGGGUUUUAUGAUUGCACUGAUGAGUUGUUUUCUUGCUGUCCGCUGUGUCUACAGUUUUUUCUCGGGGAACUCAGAUUUGGGAAUAUUUUUGGAUGCUCCAAAAAAUGAUUAUACAGGUUACUGUGUUGGCAAAUCCAUCAGAAAUAAGGCCAACAGAGACCUAAUUAAGCAACUGACUUUGUAAUAUUCAAAGUAUCUCAACGAUUAUUUGGUCCUCUGUUU